rnacentral:rRNA from 1 species
GACGAACGCUGGCGGCGUGCCUAAUACAUGCAAGUCGAGCGGAGCUUAUCCUUCGGGGUAAGCUUAGCGGCGGACGGGUGAGUAACACGUAGGCACCCCACCCUGUAGACUGGGAUAACUACCGGACACGGUAGCUAAUACCGGAUAAUUCCUUUCUUCUCCUGAAGAAAGGAUGAAAGGCGGAGCAAUCUGCUACUAGAGGAUGGGCCUGCGGCGCAUGAGCUAGUUGGUGGGGUAACGGCCCACCAAGGCGACGAUGCGUAGCCGACCUGAGAGGGUGAACGGCCACACUGGGACUGAGACACGGCCCAGACUCCUACGGGAGGCAGCAGUAGGGAAUCUUCCGCAAUGGGCGAAAGCCUGACGGAGCAACGCCGCGUGAGUGAUGAAGGUUUUCGGAUCGUAAAGCUCUGUUGCCAGGGAAGAACGUCCGGUAGAGUAACUGCUACCGGAGUGACGGUACCUGAGAAGAAAGCCCCGGCUAACUACGUGCCAGCCGCCGCCGUAA